UACGUAGGUGGCAAGCGUUGUCCGGAUUUACUGGGCGUAAAGAGCGCGCAGGCGGUCGUUCAAGUCGCGUGUGAAAGCCCCCGGCUCAACUGGGGAGGGUCACGCGAUACUGAUCGACUGGAAGGCAGGAGAGGGUAGUGGAAUUCCCGGUGUAGUGGUGAAAUGCGUAGAUAUCGUAAGGAAGACCAGUGGCGAAGGCGGGUCUCUGGACAGUUCCUGACGCUGAGGCACGAAGGUCAGGGGAGCAAACGGG
rnacentral:rRNA from 1 species